rnacentral:rRNA from 1 species
GAUGAACGCUAGCUACAGGCUUAACACAUGCAAGUCGAGGGGCAGCAUUAAAGUUUGCUUGCAAACUUUAGAUGGCGACCGGCGCACGGGUGAGUAACACGUAUCCAACCUGCCGAUAACUCGGGGAUAGCCUUUCGAAAGAAAGAUUAAUACCCGAUGGUAUAUUUUCACCGCAUGGUGAAACUAUUAAAGAAUUUCGGUUAUCGAUGGGGAUGCGUUCCAUUAGGCAGUUGGUGAGGUAACGGCUCACCAAACCUUCGAUGGAUAGGGGUUCUGAGAGGAAGGUCCCCCACAUUGGAACUGAGACACGGUCCAAACUCCUACGGGAGGCAGCAGUGAGGAAUAUUGGUCAAUGGGCGCGAGCCUGAACCAGCCAAGUAGCGUGAAGGAUGACGGCCCUAUGGGUUGUAAACUUCUUUUAUAUGGGAAUAAAGUUUGGUAUGCAUACCAUUUUGUAUGUACCAUAUGAAUAAGGAUCGGCUAACUCCGUGCCAGCAGCCGCGGUAAUACGGAGGAUCCGAGCGUUAUCCGGAUUUAUUGGGUUUAAAGGGAGCGUAGGUGGAUUGUUAAGUCAGUUGUGAAAGUUUGCGGCUCAACCGUAAAAUUGCAGUUGAAACUGGCAGUCUUGAGUACAGUAGAGGUGGGCGGAAUUCGUGGUGUAGCGGUGAAAUGCUUAGAUAUCACGAAGAACUCCGAUUGCGAAGGCAGCUCACUGGACUGUUGACUGACACUGAGGCUCGAAAGUGUGGGUAUCAAACAGG